CGGAUCAAACCGCGAACUUCUAAACCUUUGACGAUUGACUCAUGUUGCCUCGGCGGGUCCUCCCGCCAGAGGAUACAUCAAAACUCCUGUUUUAACGAUGUUGUCUGAGCUACAAGCAACGAAUCAAAACUUUCAACAACGGAUCUCUUGGUUCUGGCAUCGAUGAAGAACGCAGCGAAAUGCGAUAAGUAGUGUGAAUUGCAGAAUUCAGUGAAUCAUCGAAUCUUUGAACGCACAUUGCGCCCCUUGGUAUCCCGAGGGGCAUGCCUGUUCGAGCGUCAUUUCACCACUCAAGCCUGGCUUGGUGUUGGGCGACGUCCCCCUUUAGGGACGCGCCUCGAAACGCUCGGCGGCGUGGCACCGGCUUUAAGCGUAGCAGAAUCUUUCGCUUUGAAAGUCGGGGCCCCGUCUGCCGGAAGACCUACUCACAAGGUUGACCUCGGAUCAGGUAGGGAUACCCGCUGAACUUAAGCAUAUCAAUAAGCGGAGGAA
rnacentral:rRNA from 1 species